rnacentral:tRNA from 3 species
GCGCCCGUAGCUCAAUUGGAUAGAGUGCCUGACUACGGAUCAGGAGGUUGGGGGUUCGAAUCCUCCCGGGCGCGCCA